rnacentral:rRNA from 1 species
GACGAACGCUGGCGGCGUGCUUAACACAUGCAAGUCGAACGGAAAGGCCCUGCUUUUGUGGGGUGCUCGAGUGGCGAACGGGUGAGUAACACGUGAGUAACCUGCCCUUGACUUUGGGAUAACUUCAGGAAACUGGGGCUAAUACCGGAUAGGAGCUCCUGCUGCAUGGUGGGGGUUGGAAAGUUUCGGCGGUUGGGGAUGGACUCGCGGCUUAUCAGCUUGUUGGUGGGGUAGUGGCUUACCAAGGCUUUGACGGGUCGCCGGCCUGAGGGGGUGACCGGCCAACUGGGAGAUGGGAACCGGCCCGAGCCCCCUGGGGGGACAAAGGGGGGGAAUUUUGCCAAGGGGGCGGAAGCCGAAACGAGAAACGCCGGCUGGGGGAAGACGGCCUUGGGGUUGGAAACCGAUUUCCCGUGUGACGAGGGGGGAGUGGCGGAAAUGGGUAAAAAAGAACCGGCUAACUACGU